CCCGGCGUCUUCUUAAAGAUGUGGAGUUGACGCCGACAGACCACCCGUUCCCGAGGAGCGGGUUUUACUCUGUUUAUUCCGCCCUGGCGUGGCGGGGACUAUCCCGCGCGCCCUUAGGCAGCCGGACAUCACUCAAGAGUUGGGGUUCUCAAACGCCUGGGCCGCGCGACCGCCGGCCCCCAGCCGCCGCGGCCCUCGAGGAGUCGGCGAGCUGCCCCCGCGCCCCGGCCUGAGAUUUGGAACUAUUGCUUUGCUGGAAACAUCUGGCUGCCGGUCUAGAACAUGACUCCAGAUUCUCCAUCUACUGUGUGGUGAUGCUAUUACUUUGGGACCUAUCAAUUUGGGCUCCUUCCAGAACUGAAAACUGGUUACAAAUAUGAAACAGAUUUCACUACUGGACUUGAACUCCACAUAAGAAAAAAAAAACCAAGAAGAUCCUCAAAGAUCCUCAUCAAAGAAUAGAUGCCGUGUGACUGGCAGGGAUAUCAAAGAGGUUGUAGGGAACGAUGCCAAAGGGACAGGGGAAGAUAGGGGGAGGCAAGCACCCGGAGCUGAUCCCCAGCUGUGCCUUCUCCAGGCACGAAGCCCAAACUCCCACGGUUUUCUCAGCAAUUUAGCAACUCGGAAAAGCUGGCAAAAACGAUACCCUGUGAUCCAAAAGAAUGACUGCCCUGC